UGGGGAAUAUUGGACAAUGGGCGAAAGCCUGAUCCAGCCAUGCCGCGUGAGUGAUGAAGGCCCUAGGGUUGUAAAGCUCUUUCGCAGGUGAAGAUAAUGACGGUAACCUGAGAAGAAGCCCCGGCUAACUUCGUGCCAGCAGCCGCGGUAAUACGAAGGGGGCUAGCGUUGUUCGGAAUUACUGGGCGUAAAGCGCACGUAGGCGGAUACUUAAGUUAGGGGUGAAAUCCCAGGGCUCAACCCUGGAACUGCCUUUAAUACUGGGUAUCUCGAGUCCGAGAGAGGUGAGUGGAAUUCCGAGUGUAGAGGUGAAAUUCGUAGAUAUUCGGAGGAACACCAGUGGCGAAGGCGGCUCACUGGCUCGGUACUGACGCUGAGGUGCGAAAGCGUGGGGAGCAAACAGG
rnacentral:rRNA from 1 species